UGCCUUUGUAUUUUUUGGUCUUUUGAAUAAAAAUAGGUAGCCUAAUUUGCACAUUCUUUCAGUGCUUUCCAUGUAUCUCUGCUCUUCCUUGGCAUUCUGCUGAAUAUGCACCUCCGAAAGAAUUCAAGGCUUCCUUGGCAUGAUUUUGAUGAAUAGGAACCUAUGAGGCUUAAUAAGAGGCACCAAAAUGGACAGGCACCUAAGGGGAAAAACAGGUCUGGGUUGAUGGAUGUCUUUCCCAGGGGAGCGGGGCACUGCUGAGAUGCCGCUUUUCCAGCAAGUGGUAAAACGGAAAGAUAAUUCAAGGCAACACAUGCAAAGGCAGGAUGUGCAAUGUUUUUUCUCAGCAGCAGCGAGUGUGCGGAAAGAAUCAGAUAAGCAGCUGCUUCGCAGGGUGCCAAAGGGACAGACAGCAGAGAAGACAUGUGCCAGCCCAGAAAGGACGGCUUGGAAUGGAAACAAGAAAAUUACCGUUAUCACAUCAAGUGAUGUUCCAAGUAUCUUUGGAGAUUGCCCACAUUCAUAAGCAGAGAGAAUUGGGCCAGUAAAGAAGCAAAGAUGGGAGAUUCCUGGGAGAGAGGGUAAGUAGAGCCAAGUGUGGGAGACUUUGUGGAAGAUACAAUGGAAGGAGCCAUUGGACUACAGAGAAGCAGGGCACUUGUUGCUGGGAAACAUGAGGGAAAGGAGGUAAAGAAGGGCUCUUGAGUUGAUUUUGCUGUGUAUUGUUAGAAAAGCUGUCACCUUCUUGGUGACAUGUGUUCCCCUCUGUGCAGGAAGUUACUGCUAGAAGAAAGAAUGGUGGAAAUAGACAGGAAAUUUAAGAAGAGGAGGGGAAAAUGGGAAUAGCCUUGUGAUCAGGCAGAAGAGGAUUGACCCGAAAGAAGGAAAACAAUCACUGAGUUGUGCCACGUGGUUCUCACACCUUUUAGCACGCAUCCAGUCACCCGGAGAACUUGGCAAAACAGUUUGCUGGAAACUGCCGUAAAGAUUCUAACGCAGUAGGCCCCGAACGGGGUCUGAGACUAUGUACUUCUAAAAUGCUCCCAGUUGAUACUGAUGCUGAUGGACUAAGAACCACAUUUUGAGAACCACUGUUAUUUAAAAAAAAGAAAGGAGGGGUGAAAAGAGACUGUUUCUAACACAGAAAAUGUCACUGCGGUUUUGUAAAGUAUGUGGUUUGAUCAGACUUACGAGGCAAAACUCCAUGAUAUUUACGUUUUAUUGAAUGCAUUUUCAGAAUCCCUUGUCUAUGUUUGGGCUCUCUCCUUGGCCCAGAAUGCCCUUUCCUUUGUAACCCAAUAUGAUUCUACACAUCCUUUUUAGCACCUGCUCAAGUGCCAUCUUCCCAGGACAUAGUGUUUCUGCAUCUGUCUUUGCCAUUAUCUGAGCCCUGCUUUUUGCACCUACAUGACUUGUUUGCACCCAGACGUCAUUCUGCCUAGUAUUUUUGUUGUCCAGAUUCCUGGUUCUUCACACCCCUAAACCAUAAGCUGCCUGGGGACAGAGAUUGUCCUACCACCUUCCCC
rnacentral:lncRNA from 1 species